rnacentral:lncRNA from 1 species
GGGACAGAGAGUGCAGUGCAUUUAAUUUCCUGUCUAUCGUGAUUCGUGAGGCAGCAGAGAGAAUGAGUCUCUAGAAAGUGGAAGUCAAAUGACAAAUAGGAAGUGGAUCGAACGUUUUUAGUGGAAGCAGUAUUUAAAGUGAAAAUUUAAAUUUGGUACCACUUUCUGCAUGCAACCCUUCCUCUUCAUCUUCCAGAAACUCCAUUGUUCCUCCUUCUCUCUAAAACCUUAGAACUUCUCACUAGAUUUCUGAUCAUCAUCUUGCUCCGAUCAUAUACCUCCUUUUAGAUUGAUUCUUUCCAGAGACAAGAGCUUCCAUUUGUACCAAUCAGAUUUAUGU